rnacentral:tRNA from 1 species
AAAAAGUUAGUUAAUUUAUAACAUAAAUAUGUCAUAUUUAAAUUAUUAGUACACUAAUACUUUUUG